rfam:Chryseobacterium indologenes NBRC 14944 DNA, contig: CIN01S09.
AAAUAGCCCCGAUUGCAGCGGCAUCCUUUUUCUGAGAGGAAAGGGGAGGCGAAAAAGAUAUAGCGGAAAGCGGGAAACAGC